UGCUCCCUUUUCUUAUAUGCCUUUCUCUAUUCUCUGUACCCUAAUUUUCCCAUCUCCAUCCUCCCUCAUUUCUUGCAAACACAUCGCCAUCGCAUCAGACCUCAUCCCGCUAUAACUGAAACGCAAUGUGAAUGCCGCACUUGGAGCUCACAGUGGCACCACGCCUGAACCUCAUCAUGCGCCAAUACACCUAUACCUAAUGGCCGUGGGCUACCAGACUCUCAUCUCGGUAGUUUGGCUCUAAUUUUGGGAAAGGUAUUGGGCCACAAAACCCACAUCUUCAAGUCUUGAGUGUUCCAUAGAAAAUCAAGAGUAUCAGAAACAAUUUUUCAAUUUGCUUGCUUCGAUUAAGGAGAUGAAUCGACCAUGAGUGCCUUGGUUGGAACUAAGAUUGAAGUUAUGGUGGCUAUCCCUAAUAUCCAGCUUGUUGAGAGGAAUGACUAUGGCAAGUGGGUUAAGAAAAAAAAUCUCGCAUUACAACUUCAAUGGGAGUGCUAAUGUCAAAGUUGGCUUCCCUGCCCAUUAAAUGUUGAGAUAACAACAUUUGAUGUGGUUGGCCUAGUUUGCAGAUUUCUUAGGAAUAGAAAGGAUAAGACAUGUGAAGACACUCAAUCUCAAAUUAUUGAUCUAAAGAGUAAAGGGUUGUAUGUGGAAUAGUAUAAUCCAUGAGCCAUGUGUAGGGGUAUGGCAAUCAAAUUGGAAAUUUUCGGUGACAUGCUGCAGUCUCGACCAGUGGGAAUCGUGUGCUAUUUUCAGAUGGUGCAAUCAGAAGUAAAAUAUUUUAGGAUUAGGAUAAAAAAUUUAGUUGUAAAAUUACUAGAUGAAUUUGUAAUGUUUUUUAUUUUAUAUUUGAACAUGGU